GUCCUUGUGAUAACAAAAUAGAAAUAUGUAAUUAAGAUUUUAUUGUGAACAAAAUCAAACACAGCUGCGUAAUAAACAAAAAUAAUAAAUUGAGAUUUUAUACCUCCAAAGCUGCUCAUAAUCACAAAAGUUAUGCUGCUACUUAUGCUCAAAAAGUCACAACAUUAUGUGAUAACAAGGUUGGUGUCGUCCAAAAAAACAUUCCUAUCCCACCUCUAAAUUAUAUGCAGGCAACAACACUACACAAUAAAAUAGAUAUGUUAGGAUUUCAACAUAAGUAAAUAUUAUUAGAUUAAAAGAGGGUUAAUAAUAUACCUAUGACAAAAAGUUGUUAUGCCAAGCCAAAAAAUCAAAAGCUGCAAGAAAAGAAGAGUAUUAGACAAUAUUGAACAAAAAUUAAAUUGUUUCAAACCGUAAAAAAGAUGAACAUAAAAAUAUGUAAACUUACAUCCAAAUUCAUCAUACACAGCCAGGUGGCUGUGAUGAUGAGCAACCAGCAGCAGCUGCAUUUGCAGAUCCUUCUCCAACAGAUAUUUUUUGAAACUCUACACAUAUUCAAGUAUACAAAUUUUUAGAAUCAUUUAAAUUUAUUAUAUGGCUGUUGUUUAGCAAUAAUAAAAAUAUUUCACCUGCUAUGAUGUCUUCAGAAAGCUCAGUCUCCUCCAUAAGUUGCAAGUCUUUAAAGUAAGUGAACGACGGUUUCAACCAAUUUUGGGUACAGAUUAAUGCCUCUGCCAUUUCUUCCUUUAGAGAGGUCCUGUAGGUUUCUAUGACUCUCCCCCCUGUGCUGAAAGCACUUUCUGAAGCAACUGUAGACACCGGUAUGGCCAAAAUAUCCUUUGCCAUGGUAGAUAAAAUGGGGUAUUGACUUGAAUUAUUUUUCCACCACACAAGAAUGUCAAAAUUAUCAGUUCGCUUGACACACUUGCUGUUAAUAUACCCAUCAAGCUCAUUCUGUAGGUCAAUUGAGUUUUGCUCCUCCAAAUGUUGGUCAAAAGCAUUGGCCCUUGCCAUACCCGAAGGGCGGCGGGCAGCAACAGCUGUAUUGGUUUCAACAUGGGUAAUUGUUUCUCUACAACUCGCAAGUGGUUGUGCAUUGUUGACAGUCUGGUCAUGAGCUUUCUUAUACCAAAAGUACAAUUUAUCUAGAUUCUCCCUAAUAGAUUUAACCAACUCUUUGGCAAACACAGGUCUAUCAUAAUACAUUUCAUUAUUAAAAACCCACUCAAUAUAUCUCAACUUGUAUCGCGGGUCAAAGAUGGUGCCAAAAUACAAAAGAUUGUUCAUGUUAGCAACGUUCUCCCAAUAUUUGUUGUACUUAGCCAUCAUUUCCAUACCCACACUUGCAAAAAUUGAGUUUAAGUCCAUUGUGGCACGCUUCAGCUCAACAUAAAUUGAGGAAAUUUGGUGAAAGGCUGUAUGUAUACUCACAUGUUGGGAGGUUGAAAACAAUUUUGUUGCCUCAUAAAACAUCUCCAAAAAAACACAAAAAGCCCUUGCAUUCUCCCAAUCAUCACUCGUUGGUGGACCAUCAGGUCCAAAGUAUUCCCUAUAACUAGAAUCUUCGUCUUCAAGCUUUUCAAAAGCUACUUGAAACUUUAUAGCACUACUCAGCAUAAACAAUGUUGCGUUCCAACGAGUUGAAACAUCAAGAGACACUAGUUUUUUAGAUGUUAUUCCAGCAAAUUCGAUACACUCUUUGAACUUGGCAUCCCUUUGAGGAGAAGAUUUUACAAACCUAACAGCAUCUCUGACACGAGUAAUGGAGGUAUGUUUUUCUUUCAAACCAUCCAAAACCACCAAGUUCAAGAUAUGUGAACAACACCUCAUAUGGAAAUAAGACCCAUCCCCCAUCAGCCCAUUCAUUGUUUUAAUCUUUUUUUUCAAAUAUGUCACGGCUACAUCAUUAGCUGAUGCAUUAUCAACAGUUACAGAUGACACACAUCUAAUCCCCCAAUCCCUUAACACCUCUUCAAUCUUCCUACCUACAGUCUCACCCUUGUGGUUUGGGAUUACAGCGAAGCUGAUUAUUCUUUUUUGAUACUUCCAAUCAUUAUCCACAAAAUGUGCCGUAAGGGUCAAGUAGUUAAGGUUUUGAAGAGAGGUCCAACAAUCGGUAGUAAGUGCUACCCUUUUGCAGUCAGACUUAAAGAAAUCUUUUAAUUUUAGUUUUUCAUCCAAGUACAACUGAAAACAAUCCCUGGCAAUUGUCCUCCUAGAAGGAAUAAUAAACAAAGGUUGCAUCGUAUUACUGUAGUGUUUAAAUCCUUCUCCCUCAACUGUCCUAAAUGGCUUCUCAUCUAAAACUAUAUAAACUGCCAAAGACUUCCUACAAGCAAGCUGGUUAAAUCUAGAGCUAACCGGAACCAAACUAGAACCCUCAACAGCUGGAUAUGAAAGAAUGGUUUGGUUGGGGCCAUUUUUUAAAAAACAUUGAAGGAUAAGACAUUUAGUUAUAUGUGUGUUCAAGUUUUUGGUACCAUGAGUCUUAGGGUCACACAGGUAUCUUUGGUGACAAUGUUUACAAGCAGCAGUUGGUUUGUCAACCUCACUAUCAGGUAACCUUAUAAAGUGUUCCCAGCAAGCCGCUGUUUGCCUAGGACCAUUUGCAUUAGCCUUUCUCUUCUUUAAUGGUUGAGUAUUAGUUAGUUCAGGUCCAGCAACCUGAGUUGAUGGCGCUGCACCAGCUUCAUUAUUCAUAGUUUGAGUUGAUGCUGCUGCACCAGCUUCAUUAUUUAUAAAUUUAUUAGGUGAGUAUUAAAUAUUUAAGGGUGUGUAUUAAUAGAUAUAAAGUGUGUUUAUUAGAUUUAAAGUGUAUUUAUUAAUCAUUUACCCCAACUUUAGGACUGUAAUAAUGUUUAAGGGUGUGUAAAAAAGUUUUAAGUGUUUAUAGUAAUCAUUUAGCCUGUCCUUGAGCAUAAAAAACUCAGCAGCCAUAGCCAUUAAAAGUCAUGCAUAAAUUCAACAAAGUGUGCAUAAAGACAUGGAAAAAAUCAGCAAANAUAUUGGUUUCCUUUGAUUGUGUUUUUUCUAUGAUGCUAUAGGUUCUUGGUACAAACUCGGACGAAGAAGAAAAAUUUAAUUUUGUUUCGGGAAACAAAAGUAAUUACUAACAUUUGACAUUAAAAAAGUAUUUAUUUUCUAUUCAAUUCAAUGAUAGUCGUUGUCCCAAUAGUUUUAUUUAUCAUAUUGAAUUUUAUUUGAAAAUAUUAUAGCAUUUAAUCAAACGAUAUUUGUUCAUAUAUAUGACCAAAUGCGCUAAAAUUAAUUUGCGAUAAAAUAUUUCUAAUAAUACAACAAUGCCAUAAAUUUUUGUAAAAAAAAAUGCCUUAAUUUUGUUACUAAAGCCUUAAAUAUUAUAUUAUAUACAUUUAAUUUUUUCAAAUUAUUAUAGAAGUUUCUUAUUCAUAGCAAUUUACAAAUUCUUUGUCUUGGACGAAUUAGUACCAAAAAAAAAUUAAGCAAAUUUGUUGUUAAUUUUAAAAAGUUACUUUGAAAUUAAUCCAAGAACUGAUUCCCAUAUUUAUUAAUAUGGAAUUUAUAUUUAUAUUGUUAAUAUAUUUCGUGCACUGACCUUUAACCACAUAAAUAUGAGUAAUAUCGGUAUUUAAUGAAGAUUAAAUUUAAAUUAUAAAUAUUUGUGAAGUAAUUAAUUUUUUACCUAUCGAAAUAGGAAUUUUUUUCUUUGUAAAAAAAAUUAUAAUAAUUUAACUUGACACAAAUCUAUAUUCCUUAAGCUCCAAAAAGUAUAACAAUUUAUACUACCAAUAAAAUUAUUGAAAUGGUCUUUCUAAACCUCUAAAAAGGUAGAAUUAUGCUAAGAGAAAUGUUAGCAGCACGCAUAUAAAUUUAAACACACGUUUCAACGUCCCCGUGAGCUUAGCUCAGAUGGUAGGGAUAAUGCAUAAAAUAUCCAAGAUCCGGGGUUCGAUAGUUUUAAUAAAUCAAAGAGAGUGUAUUGAAAAUUGUGUUAAAAUGUAUGUUGUUAGCAUUCAUCAUUAGGCCAAUGACAUGAAAUUAUUUUUCAUGAAAACCAGUAAAGGUUAUUGUCCCCUUUUUCUUAUUUGAUUUCUACAAUUUAAUUGCAAUCAACAUUUGUUCUUCAGAGUUUUCUCCUAAUCAUAAAGAUUGAUAAAAUCAAGUGUACAUAUUUUCCAAAUGAAAAGGAAUUAAUUAGCAAAAACUUGCAUUGAUCUAUAUCAUGUGAAUAAAAGUUGGAAAUUAAAAUAUCUUAAUGUUUUAAUAACAAUAAAAAAUAGCUCCAAAAAUAGCGCACCAUAUAAGUGUGUUCCUUUUUUUUUUUACUCAUAUAAAAAUACUCUCUUUUCCACUAAAAAAAACAUAUUCAUCUUUUUUUAAUAAUUUUAUUUUGGUAAGUUGGAUCCAAAGAGAAAGCCACAAGGAUAAAAAAAGAUAUUACAAAGGUAUUUAUGUAUUAUCCAUCUAGGAUGUCCUAACGCUGGUAUCGAGAGUUGUACUCACACUUUAAUAGGGGUAGGAGUCAAUUUAUUAUCAACUAAAUCAUCAUAUAUCUACAAUAUAAGCACAUUCUCAAUCACACUACAAAUAUUUUUCUUUAUCUUUAUCUUUAUAAUAUGAAUUAAAAACUCAAUAAAUGAAUAAUUAAAUGUUGGAUUAAAUGAAGAAAUAUUUACCAUUAAAUUCAAUAAAUAAAAAGUUUUAAGUAUCACAAUCAUUUUCUUAAUUGCAAUUAUGCGCAUUCAACUACUAUUGAUUCAAUCAUUAAAAAUUUCAAUUAAUAAAUGCUAAAAAGUCAUAAUUAUUUAAUGGAGUAGUUUAAUUUUUAUUUUUUUUUAAACAAUCAAAGAAAUGCAUUAAACAUGUAGGAAGGGGCCUGAUAUGAUAUGAAAUAAAUUAAACUAUCAUAUCCUAUCCUGCGCAGGAUAUGAUAGACUCAUAAUUAUUUAAUGGAGUUUUUAAUUUAACUAGAGUCUGUUUGAUGGUCAAGAUAGAGAGACAUAAUAUGAUACAUUAAUCAUAUCCUGCUUAAAUAUCAUGUUUGAUGCACUAAAGAGAUAGCAUACAAUAAACAAUUUCCCUAUCAUAUCCUGACUUUCCUUUGUAAUUUAUAUCCUGAGUAUAGACUAGGUUAGAAAUUAUCUGAUGGGAUUGGAAGAUCAUUCCUUAUUUAUUAUCUUGAUAUUCUACCAUUUUUAAAUAUUGUCAUUUUUAAAAUAGUUAUAGCAUGUAUUUUCUAUUAUAAUUAAUAACAUACCAUUUUUACAAUAUUUAAUUAAUUAUGAGAGCAAUUUUUUCAUUUAAUUAUAAUGAUAUCCUGUUUGUUAUCAUGUGCACAUCAAACACAUGAUAAGAUUAAUGUUUAUCAUGUCCUUAUCAUAUCAUAUCUCUAUCCAGCUUUAUAUCAUGUCAUGCCUCUAUCAUAUCAUGACCAUCAAACAGACCCUUAACAACAUGAGGAUAUUACAUCAAAAUUCUAAAUAAAGGCAAACUAGAGCUAUAUACAUAUUGAGCUUAUUUAUCAGACAAGAUAUAUAUCAAUACAUUGUUAAAAAAGCAUACACUCAAGAAGAAAAUUAUCUUCUGUUAAAAAAAAAAGCAAACUAUCUUUUUUGAGGGAGAGAAAGCGAAGUUUAUAUUCUUAAUUGUUCUGAAUCUUUGCACAAUCCUUUCAAUAUUGAAUGGUACAAAUUCAAAAUCAUAUUCAAAAUAAAAUCAAUUUUUUUUAGGGAAAAUCAAUUUUAUUAUGUAAAUUAUUAUGCAUUGAACAUAAAAUUAACGAGUAUGUAUGUUUUUCAAUAAAUUCAGUCGAAAAAAUAUUUUAAUAAAAAAAUUAUAUUUCAUCUAGCUAGAUAUGAUUUUUUUCCGUUAUUUUUAUUAUAUAGAAAAUAUUAAUAAUAAUUUAUUUUAUAUUUAUUGGUAAUUAAACUUCUACACGCAGAUUCUGUGAGUAUAAAUCAGAUAUUGGCAAUUUGAUCCCCUUAAAAAAAAUAUCAUUAUUUUUCGAUUUUUUAUUUACAAAAAUAAAUAUAUAAUUCAAAUUUUUAUAUUUUAAGAUAACAAAUUGGUACUUUUACUUUUUUUUUUGUCAUCUUCAUCGAUCGAAACACAUGUCGACAUUGCUGAUACUAACCGAAAACGAAAAAGUGGUGAAAAACACAAAAGCUUGAAACGAGAUGCAGGAAACCGAAAUAGACAAUUGUCUUUUUAUGGUUUUCAAUUUCUUAACUCAUUCUCUGUUUUUACUAGGGGUGGACAUCGGGCGGGUUCGGGCCCAAAGUGGCAGCCCAUCCCAACCCGAAGGGUUCAAACCUCUGGCCCAAUUGUGCCCAAAACUAGUAAGCGGGUAGUUCGGGUUCGGGUUAUCGGGUUGUGCGGGUUAACGGGCGGAUAUAUACGGGUUGGACCUUAUCUGGCCCAAUAUGAUUUUGAAAGCCCAAUUGAAUUUUUUUAUUAUUUUUUUUAAAUUUAUGUGUGUUUUUAUAUAUAAAAAUGAUUUUUUAUAAUUGCUAUGUUUUUUUAAAAUAAAAAUGAGGUCAUCUGCCACGUUUAUAUAGAUUUGUUGGAUUUUUAACUUAUAAUGUGAAAUUAAGAAUUUGAACUAGAUAUUUAAAACAAAGAGAUGGAAAAUUUAGUGAAUAAAAUAUGGUCGAUUGCCCCAAUACUAGUUGGUAGUUGCACCUUCAAACCAUUCCAACCCUCAUGUCUGCAAGGUUGCAAAGCCAAUCCUUCAAAUUUUCCAUGCAAUUUUCAUGUAUACUAUAUUCAUACAGUACAGCAAUAGCAGUUCAUGAUUCUGGUGAUAAGUGCAGCUAUAUAAUGACAUCAAAAUUUGAUUGUUCAAGCCUGCAAAGAACCUAUCCUGUGUCGAAAAUUGAGCAACUUUCAUGGAACUGCUCUCAUACUUAAUGCCAAAAGGAUAUCCAACGAUAGUGGCACCUCUACUAACAAUGACUUGUUCAGAACAAUCAUCGGAGAUGCAUAAAUAACCUUGCACACCAUUGUAAAGAUUUAAAUAGUACAAUCAUCCAGAUGGAAAAUAAAAGUCUUUAGUAUCAGCUGUAGCAGCAUUUUGCAUUAUAUAAUGCAUUGUUCAAUAUCAAGUUAAUUCAAAUGGAGCAUCAUCUACACAACAAAAACAAGACAUUAGAUAAACUAUAAUUAUACAACCAGAACAAAUAAACUAAACUUGAUAAAAUACUUACAUCAUCCAAAGUAAAUUGCAUCUUGAUGCUUUGAGAUUCAAAGCAAAUUUGCACAUCAAUAGAGAGCAAUGGCAGGCUUAACAAAAGCUGCAUAUACAAAAAUAGUAAGCCAAUAGCAUAAAAAUGUUGAAAAUAUUGAUACCAAUUCAAACCACAAGACUUUGAGUAAAAAUACGUACAUAUUAUCAACAAAUGAAAAUCACAAGCUGCUCAAUUUUACUCAAAUUAAUCUUCUGGUUCUGCAUAAUCAAAAUUAGAUGAUAUCGGUAUUCAACCAAAAUAAGAGAAAAUCAAAAGAAAAGCCAAAUGCCCCUUGUUACAAAAAGACACAUACUUGCCUCAAAACCAACACAAUACUCACGCUGCUACCAGCAACAAACAGACCCACUAAGCAGAUAAAAACACUCUGAAAAAACUCCCACAUCAGACCAUACCUGAGGCAGUACCAAUGAUUCAAAUGUCAACAAACUGUUCUCCAAAUCAGCCAUAGCCAUAAUAGUAAAAACAGCUACAAAAUAGUCCUUGUGAUAACAAAAUAGAAAUAUGUAAUUAAGAUUUUAUUGUGAACAAAAUCAAACACAGUUGUGUAAUAAACAAAAAUAAUAAAUUGAGAUUUUAUACCUCCAAAGCUGCUCAUAAUCACAAAAGUUAUGCUGCUACUUAUGCUCAAAAAGUCACAACAUUAUGUGAUAACAAGGUUGGUGUCGUCCAAAAAAACAUUCAUAUCCCACCU
rnacentral:lncRNA from 1 species